GGUGAGACUAAGCCAUGCGAGUUGAGCGCUUCCAAGCCAUGAAGGAGGCGCAGCGCACAGCUCAGUAGCACGUGGCUAACCUGCCCUUGGGACAGAGACACCCCCGGGAAACUGGGGCUAAUCCCUGAUAGGCGAAGAACCCUGGUAUGAGUCUUCACUCAAAAGGCGCUUAAGUCAUGCUCUUAGGCGCUGCCCAAGGAUGGGGCCGCGGCCGAUCAGGUUGUUGGUGGGGUAAUGGCCCACCAAACCUAUAACCGGUACGGGCCCUGAAAGGGGUGGCCCGGAGAUGGGAACUGAGACAAGGUCCCAGGCCCUACGGGGCGCAGCAGGCGCGAAAACUUCACAAUGUGCGAAAGCAUGAUGAGGUUAUCCCGAGUGCCUUCCGUAAGGGAGGCUUUUUCCCAGUGUAAGGAGCUGGGCGAAUAAAGGGGGGGCAAGUCUGGUGUCAGCCGCCGCGGUAAUACCAGCCCCCUAAGUGAUAGGGACGAUUAUUUAGCCUAAAGCGUCCGUAGCCGGCUUAGCAAGUCUUUCGUUAAAUCUGACGACUUAAUCGCCAGACUGCGGAAGAUACUGCUACGCUAGAGGGCGGGAGAGGUUGACGGUAGUCCCUGGGUAGGGGUGAAAUCCUAUAAUCCUGGGAGGACCACCAAUGGCGAAGGCAGUCAACUAGAACGCGCCUGACGGUGAUGGACGAAAGCUGGGGGAGCAAACCGGAUUAGACACCCGGUUAGUCCCAGCUGUAAACGAUGCGGGCUAGGUGUUGGGGUAGCCACGUGCUGCUCCAGUGCCGCAGAGAAGUCGUUAAGCCCGCCGCUUGGGAAGUACGGCCGCAAGGCUGAAACUUAAAGGAAUUGGCGGGGGAGCACCACCAGGCGUGAAGCUUGCGGUU
rnacentral:rRNA from 1 species